rnacentral:rRNA from 1 species
CCUACGGGGGGCAGCAGUGAGGAAUAUUGGUCAAUGGCCGUAAGGCUGAACCAGCCAAGUCGCGUGAAGGAAGAAGGAUCUAUGGUUUGUAAACUUCUUUUAUAGGGGAAUAAAGGUAUCCACGUGUGGAUAUUUGCAUGUACCCUAUGAAUAAGCAUCGGCUAACUCCGUGCCAGCAGCCGCGGUAAUACGGAGGAUGCGAGCGUUAUCCGGAUUUAUUGGGUUUAAAGGGUGCGUAGGUUGUUUUUUAAGUCAGCGGUGAAAGUUUGUGGCUCAACCAUAAAAUUGCCGUUGAAACUGGAAGACUUGAGUGUGUUUGAGGUAGGCGGAAUGCGUGGUGUAGCGGUGAAAGGCAUAGAUAUCACGAAGAACCCCGAUUGCGAAGGCAGCUUACUAAACUGUGACUGACAUUGAUGCUCGAAAGUGUGGGUAUCAAACAGGAUUAGAUACCCCGGUAGUC